rnacentral:rRNA from 1 species
ACAUGCUUACAACAUAGUGUUUAUGCACUAGAUACCAUUAGAACUCYGUAGUGAAGUGCRCUCRAGCUAGAGUAGUACUGGGAUGGUGACUGCCCRAGAAUUCCUAGUAUUUUACAUGCY